AUUGAACGCUGGCGGCAUGCCUUACACAUGCAAGUCGAACGGUAACAGGUCUUCGGAUGCUGACGAGUGGCGAACGGGUGAGUAAUACAUCGGAACGUGCCUAGUAGUGGGGGAUAACUACUCGAAAGAGUGGCUAAUACCGCAUGAGAUCUACGGAUGAAAGCAGGGGAUCGCAAGACCUUGUGCUACUAGAGCGGCCGAUGGCAGAUUAGGUAGUUGGUGGGAUAAAAGCUUACCAAGCCGACGAUCUGUAGCUGGUCUGAGAGGACGAUCAGCCACACUGGGACUGAGACACGGCCCAGACUCCUACGGGAGGCAGCAGUGGGGGAUUUUGGACAAUGGGCGCAAGCCUGAUCCAGCAAUGCCGCGUGCAGGAUGAAGGCCUUCGGGUUGUAAACUGCUUUUGUACGGAACGAAAAGCCCUGGGUUAAUACCCUGGGGUCAUGACGGUACCGUAAGAAUAAGCACCGGCUAACUACGUGCCAGCCGCCGCCGUAA
rnacentral:rRNA from 1 species